rnacentral:rRNA from 1 species
AACACUUGACAUGUUCGUCGCGACUCUAAGAGAUUAGAGUUUUCGGUUCGGCCGGACGAAACACAGGUGCUGCAUGGCUGUCGUCAGCUCGUGUCGUGAGAUGUUGGGUUAAGUCCCGCAACGAGCGCAACCCUCACUUUUAGUUGCUACCAUUUAGUUGGGCACUCUAAAAGAACUGCCAGUGAUAAGCUGGAGGAAGGUGGGGAUGACGUCAAGUCCUCAUGGCCCUUAUGUGUUGGGCUACACACGUGCUACAAUGGUAUUCACAGUGGGAUGCGAAGAGGCAACUCCAAGCAAACCUCAAAAAAAUACCUCAGUUCGGAUUGUACUCUGCAACUCGAGUACAUGAAGCUGGAAUUACUAGUAAUCGCGGAUCAGCGCGCCGCGGUGAAUACGUUACGCGGGUCU